UACAGAGGUCCCAAGCGUUGUUCGGAUUCAUUGGGCGUAAAGGGUGCGUAGGCGGCGCCGUAAGUCGGAUGUGAAAUCUCGGGCUCAACCCUGAAACUGCAUUCGAUACUGCGGUGCUAGAGGACUCUAGAGGAAACUGGAAUUCACGGUGUAGCAGUGAAAUGCGUAGAUAUCGUGAGGAAGACCAGUGGCGAAGGCGGGUUUCUGGAGAGUUCCUGACGCUGAGGCACGAAGGCCAGGGGAGCAAACGG
rnacentral:rRNA from 1 species